GGGACACGUGGUAUCCUGUCUGAAUAUGGGGGGACCAUCCUCCAAGGCUAAAUACUCCUGACUGACCGAUAGUGAACCAGUACCGUGAGGGAAAGGCGAAAAGAACCCCGGCGAGGGGAGUGAAAAAGAACCUGAAACCGUGUACGUACAAGCAGUGGGAGCACCUUCGGGUGUGACUGCGUACCUUUUGUAUAAUGGGUCAGCGACUUAUAUUCUGUAGCAAGGUUAACCGUAUAGGGGAGCCGCAGGGAAACCGAGUCUUAACUGGGCGUUAAGUUGCAGGGUAUAGACCCGAAACCCGGUGAUCUAGCCAUGGGCAGGUUGAAGGUUGGGUAACACUAACUGGAGGACCGAACCGACUAAUGUUGAAAAAUUAGCGGAUGACUUGUGGCUGGGGGUGAAAGGCCAAUCAAACCGGGAGAUAGCUGGUUCUCCCCGAAAGCUAUUUAGGUAGCGCCUCGUGAAUUCAUCUUCGGGGGUAGAGCACUGUUUCGGCUAGGGGGUCAUCCCGACUUACCAACCCGAUGCAAACUACGAAUACCGAAGAAUGUUAUCACGGGAGACACACGGCGGGUGCUAACGUCCGUCGUGAAGAGGGAAACAACCCAGACCGCCAGCUAAGGUCCCAAAGUCAUGGUUAAGUGGGAAACGAUGUGGGAAGGCACAGACAGCCAGGAUGUUGGCUUAGAAGCAGCCAUCAUUUAAAGAAAGCGUAAUAGCUCACUGGUCGAGUCGGCCUGCGCGGAAGAUGUAACGGGGCUAAACCAUGCACCGAAGCUGCGGCAGCGACACUAUGUGUUGUUGGGUAGGGGAGCGUUCUGUAAGCCUGCGAAGGUGACCUGUGAGGGUUGCUGGAGGUAUCAGAAGUGCGAAUGCUGACAUAAGUAACGAUAAAGCGGGUGAAAAGCCCGCUCGCCGGAAGACCAAGGGUUCCUGUCCAACGUUAAUCGGGGCAGGGUGAGUCGACCCCUAAGGCGAGGCCGAAAGGCGUAGUCGAUGGGAAACAGGUUAAUAUUCCUGUACUUGGUGUUACUGCGAAGGGGGGACGGAGAAGGCUAUGUUAG
rnacentral:rRNA from 1 species